rnacentral:misc_RNA from 1 species
AAGUCGUAACAAGGUUUCCGUAGGUGAACCUGCGGAAGGAUCAUUAACGAGUUUACUGAGUUGUCGAUGCCCUCUCGGGGGAUGUGCACGCUCUUUUUCACUCAUCUAUACACCUGUGCACCUAUGCGAGUCAAUGGGGGAUUAGCGAAAGAGACCUGCAAAGGUUUCGACUAGCGUUCUCUGUCGGCUCGAUUUUUUAUAAACUCUUGUAUGUCUUAGAAUGUCUACUUUGCUUAACGCAAUAAAUACAACUUUCAACAACGGAUCUCUUGGCUCUC